AUGUGGCACAACACCGGCAAUACCUUGCCGGUGAUGGUCAACGGCUGGCAGACGGUCAACAAAAAGGUUCUGGUGCUGCACACCAACAAGAACUUUGACCAGCAGAGGACCAACUGGGUGAUGGACCAGUGCCACCUCGGGGACCUGGAGCAAGAGAAGGAGCGGGAGCUGGCCCAGCCCAUGACGACAACGGGACACAAAGAUCCAGCAGGCAUCUACUGGCCUCUGGCCCACCAGUGUUAG
rnacentral:rRNA from 1 species